rnacentral:tRNA from 1 species
GCAGUGAUGGUUCAGUGGUAGAGUUCUCACCUUCCACGCGGAGAGCUGGGUUUGAUUCCCAGUCAACGCG